CCUCCGUGUUGCCGCCGUGAGGAAUAUUGGUCAAUGGGCGCGAGCCUGAACCAGCCACGUAGCGUGAAGGAUGACUGCCCUACGGGUUGUAAACUUCUUUUAUAAAGGAAUAAAGUGAGGCACGUGUGCCUUUUUGUAUGUACUUUAUGAAUAAGGAUCGGCUAACUCCGUGCCAGCAGCCGCGGUAAUACGGAGGAUCCGAGCGUUAUCCGGAUUUAUUGGGUUUAAAGGGAGCGUAGAUGGGUUGUUAAGUCAGUUGUGAAAGUUUGCGGCUCAACCGUAAAAUUGCAAUUGAUACUGGCAGCCUUGAGUACAGUAGAGGUAGGCGGAAUUCGUGGUGUAGCGGUGAAAUGCUUAGAUAUCACGAAGAACUCCGAUUGCGAAGGCAGCUUACUAAACUGCCACUGACAUUGAUGCUCGAAAGUGUGGGUAUCAAACAGGAUUAGAUACCCUAGUAGUC
rnacentral:rRNA from 1 species